GUGGGGAAUAUUGCACAAUGGGGGAAACCCUGAUGCAGCGACGCCGCGUGGAGGAUGACGGCCUUCGGGUUGUAAACUCCUUUUGUCAGGGACAAUGGUGAUGGUACCUGACGAAUAAGCCACGGCUAACUCUGUGCCAGCAGCCGCGGUAAGACAGAGGUGGCGAGCGUUGUUCGGAAUUACUGGGCUUAAAGGGCGCGUAGGCGGUGGUGUAAGUCUGGGGUGGAAUGCUACAGCUCAACUGUAGAGCUGCCUUGGAAACUGCAUUACUUGAGUCGGUGAGGGGAAGGCGGAAUUCCUGGUGUAGCGGUGAAAUGCGUAGAUAUCAGGAGGAAGGUCUGUGGCGAAGGCGGCCUUCUGGCACUUGACUGACGCUGAGGCGCGAAAGCGUGGGGAGCAAACAGGAUUAGAUACCCUUGUAGUCC
rnacentral:rRNA from 1 species